UGCAAGUCGAGCGAUGAAACCCCUUCGGGGGUGGAUUAGCGGCGGACGGGUGAGUAACACGUGGGUAACCUGCCUCAAAGUGGGGGAUAGCCUUCCGAAAGGAAGAUUAAUACCGCAUAAAGCCAAGUUUCACAUGGAAUUUGGAUGAAAGGAGUAAUUCGCUUUGAGAUGGACCCGCGGCGCAUUAGUUAGUUGGUGGGGUAAUGGCCUACCAAGACAGCGAUGCGUAGCCGACCUGAGAGGGUGAUCGGCCACAUUGGAACUGAGAUACGGUCCAGACUCCUACGGGAGGCAGCAGUGGGGAAUAUUGCACAAUGGGCGAAAGCCUGAUGCAGCAACGCCGCGUGAGUGAUGAAGGUCUUCGGAUUGUAAAGCUCUGUCUUUUGGGACGAUAAUGACGGUACCAAAGGAGGAAGCCACGGCUAACUACGUGCCAGCAGCCGCGGUAAUACGUAGGUGGCGAGCGUUGUCCGGAUUUACUGGGCGUAAAGGGUGCGUAGGCGGAUGUUUAAGUGAGAUGUGAAAUACCCGGGCUUAACUUGGGUGCUGCAUUUCAAACUGGAUAUCUAGAGUGCAGGAGAGGAGAAUGGAAUUCCUAGUGUAGCGGUGAAAUGCGUAGAGAUUAGGAAGAACACCAGUGGCGAAGGCGAUUCUCUGGACUGUAACUGACGCUGAGGCACGAAAGCGUGGGUAGCAAACAGGAUUAGAUACCCUGGUAGUCCACGCCGUAAACGAUGAGUACUAGGUGUAGGAGGUAUCGACCCCUUCUGUGCCGCAGUAAACACAUUAAGUACUCCGCCUGGGAAGUACGAUCGCAAGAUUAAAACUCAAAGGAAUUGACGGGGGCCCGCACAAGCAGCGGAGCAUGUGGUUUAAUUCGAAGCAACGCGAAGAACCUUACCUGGACUUGACAUCCCCUGAAUAACCUAAAGAUAGGCGAAGCCCUUCGGGGC
rnacentral:rRNA from 2 species